ACGUCAUCCAUUGGAGGAGUCCAUUGUUGUUUUUGUUCACGGAAAGGCGGGAAAGUGUGGAUAUCAUGUUUUGAGGUUAAAAAGUAAUUGUGUGUUGCCGACGAACUUUCAUUUUAAUUCUUUUUUAAUAUUUUAUUAAUUAUCAACGUGUUUUUGUGGCCUUUGAAAUUGUUCGCAUAAUUUUUAUUGUUUCUCCGCUCUUUGCCUCCUCUUUGAACCGGCUGUAUUUUUAUUUUACGUAUCUUUUGAAGCUCUCAGAAGAACCAGUCGCCGACCUAAUUGAUAUUAUGUUUUGCUCAUAUCCCUCUCCCGAUCUCUGCGGACACAACUUAUUUAUAAAGCUGAAGUAUUUAACUAAAACGUUUUACCAGUGCAGUAAAAUUUGGAUGUAGCUCUUUCACAUCGUUCAGUCUGUAUCAGAAAGACUAAUGUUGAAUUCCAUUUGCUCUUUGGAGAUCACAUUUUCUCCCCGCCGAAUCCAUGAUUGACUUCAUUUCCGUUUUAUCAAUAUCCAUCUUUAGGUCUUUAAAUCUUGGAGUUCAACUGCCUGGAGAAUCAUCUGAAAUAGAACCAUGGCUGAUGAAUUUCCAGAUCCUGAUGAGGAGUUUGAAUUAAUGCACGCUGAUGAAUUUGAAUUGUUGGAUGAAAUUGAAGAUGAUUUUUCCCCCUGUCAGCGCACCUGUGACAAAAGCCAAGAGGAGUCUAGAUUUCAAUUCCUCAGCUCAUGCCGGUACAUCGACCUUCAACUCCAGUAACUCAAAAACAUCUGAUUCAUCCAAAGAUGAGCAGAACCCUGCUGUAUCCCCUUGGUUACCUAUGCCAAAAACACCAGUCAAUACAGACACUAGCAAAGCUCGAAUUCCAUUCUCAGAGAAAAAUGAACAUGUUAAGCCACCUGAAAACAAUGCAACCGCAAAAAUUCCAGAAGAAAGUGAAACGACAAAAAAAGCACGGCUAGAUGAUGAAGAAGAAAAUGAGAAUAGCUGGGAGAGCGGGACACCUAAAAAGGAAAUAGGAAUGAAUUCAACAAAAGAACAGUUGAUGAUCUUUUUGGAGACAUUGCGGAUAUUGAAUUAG
rnacentral:lncRNA from 1 species